rnacentral:lncRNA from 1 species
ACAUAAAGUUGUACUUCUCAACAUUUGUGACAUCUUUAUACUAUGAUAUCAAAUCCCAUAGUUGAAUAUUAUUGGAAAAUCCAAAAUAACCCACUCGUUAUAUGAGAUGGUUGUCUGGCCUGAUUGGAGGGAAAAGGUAAUAUUGCAUUUCAUAUACUGCAUUUCUUGCUUCCAUAUGAUAUGCAUGAGCAGUUGGUGUUUGAGCUGCCUGGGGCAAACAUAGCACAUAUGAAGCUUUGAGGAGAAUUAGGACAUGUGUGUUGUAACACAUUAACAUGCAUAUAGAAAUUUAUAUGAGUCUUGCUUGUACAUGCCAAAAAAACCUAACCAGAAUUUGGUAAGGUUAAACACAAUUUUAUUGCCAGUGUUGCAGUGAGGAAGAACCUUGCAAACCUUUUGUUGGUUAGCAUCCCUGGCCUAUCUGUUUGGUGUUAGUUUUUCCAUUCUAUGCUUGUCUAAUAGACAAAAUGGUGAACCUGUAACUUGACUUUAUCAUCUUAAACAUGGGAAAGCAAAAUGCCAAAACAUAUGAAGAUAUUGGAUAAAUAUAAUGAUACUGAUCGAUGGAAACAGAUUUAUGUAGUUAGUGACUGGUUUGAGGUACUUCUGGAGACUUUGAAAAGGUUAUUUUUUAAUUGAACUGAAGAGAUAAUUAGGUAGGACAUUCCUGACUGAUUUACAGAAAUUGCCAGUACUUUGAGGGAGGUCUACAACGGCGAAAAAAAGAUUUUGCAAUAUUGCAGAGCAUAUUUUUUUUAGAUGAAAGUACUGCACUUUUAAGAUGGAACAAGAA